CUGAGAUUCUGCAUUUCUAACAAGUUCCCAGG
rnacentral:miRNA from 1 species